GCAUGGUUGUCGUCAGCUCGUGUCGUGAGAUGUUGGGUUAAGUCCCGCAACGAGCGCAACCCUUGAUCUUAGUUGCCAUCAUUAAGUUGGGCACUUUAAGGUGACUGCCGGUGACAAACCGGAGGAAGGUGGGGAUGACGUCAAAUCAUCAUGCCCCUUAUGACCUGGGCUACACACGUGCUACAAUGGACGGUACAAAGAGCUGCAAGACCGCGAGGUGGAGCUAAUCUCAUAAAACCGUUCUCAGUUCGGAUUGUAGGCUGCAACUCGCCUACAUGAAGCUGGAAUCGCUAGUAAUCGCGGAUCAGCAUGCCGCGGUGAAUACGUUCCCGGGCCUUGUACACACCGCCCGUCACACCACGAGAGUUUGUAACACCCGAAGUCGGUGGGGUAACCUUUUUGGAGCCAG
rnacentral:rRNA from 1 species